UACGAAGGGGGCUAGCGUUGCUCGGAAUCACUGGGCGUAAAGGGUGCGUAGGCGGGUCUUUAAGUCAGGGGUGAAAUCCUGGAGCUCAACUCCAGAACUGCCUUUGAUACUGAGGAUCUUGAGUCCGGGAGAGGUGAGUGGAACUGCGAGUGUAGAGGUGAAAUUCGUAGAUAUUCGCAAGAACACCAGUGGCGAAGGCGGCUCACUGGCCCGAUACUGACGCUGAGGUGCGAAAACGUGGGGAGCAAACAGG
rnacentral:rRNA from 1 species